rnacentral:tRNA from 1 species
GCGCCUGUAGCUCAACCGGAUAGAGCAUUAGUCUUCGGAACUAAGGGUUAGAGGUUCGAGUCCUCUCAGGCGCG